AUGACCGACCCCUACCGUGCGCUAUGCUUCGGGAUGCGCUUCAACCCGAAGGGCGAGGAGGCCAUUGCUGUGUACCUCGUGCCAUGGCUCCUCCGCCAGCCGCUGCCUGACACCGCCGUAAUCAUCCAUGAAGCGGAGGUUUACAAGUCCGAGCCAAAGGAUCUCGCCGCCGUGUGGCCCCGCCUUCCCAACACCCACCACCGGUUCUUCUUCACCACCUGCAGGCGUCAGAAAGCCGGGUCGGGCUUCAGGAUGAAGCGCACCGCGGGCGCCGGCAGGUGGGUCACGAGUGACAAGACGGAGGUCAAGAACAGCGCCGACGAGACGAUCGGAUACCACGAGAAACUUCGCUACGAGUACAAGGGCCAGAGCGGCAAGUCCGAGUGGCUCAUGGACGAGUAUCACUGCCGCGGAUUCGACGAAUACGCCCUCCUCCAUGACGGCAAGGAGGAGCGCGUCCUGUGCAGGCUCUACGUCUCGCCCAACGCCAAGCCGGGAUCCGUCGCGCUUCAACAAUCUGCUGCCGCGGAUCACCUCAUGCCUCAUCAGCGUAGCAUCUGCCGCGGCGUCCGUGGAAUUCAAGGACCCCCGAAGCAGCAGCAGCAGCUGCCGCGGCGUCCACAAGAACAGGUUGCUGUGCCUCCCGCGACCACGCAGACGCAGGCGCAGGCCGGGAUGAGGAAGCCAGCGCCACAAGUUGCUGACCGGCAGAGCCCCAUGUGGUCCUCUGCCACUGCCAGUCCGAAGCCAGGAUACGUCGCGCGCCAACAGGCUGCAACAGGAGAUCAUCGUCUUCGAGUUGAAGAACCCGCCAUCAUGGCCGCGCCGCGUCCACAAGCACGACCGCAGCAGGUGAUGACGAAGCCAGCGACACCGCGCGGCCUUGCUCUUUCGUCGGGGCAACAACAGCAAGGUCGCGUCACGGUUCCUGCGCCGAUGACCACGCAGCAGGCGGCAAAGAGGCCGGCGCCUCCCAUUGCCGAGCCGCCGCAACCCAAGCGGAUGCGUGCUGCUGCUCUCGCUCCGGCGGUGAAGCCGGCGUCCGCAGCACCACCUAGACAAUCCAUCCUAUCGUGGGAGCCGGCAAAGCGACCGUCCUGGUUGCCGCCGCAGCAGCCGAAUUUCCUGUCGGCGCCGCUGCCUCAGCGCCAGGCGACCAAGGACAAGGAGGGCCAGAGCACGAUCAGGCAAGAAGGCCACACGAGGACGAUCCAACAAAAGGCCUGCAACGAGGACACGGACGAGGUGUUGCCAGAGAAGGCGCAAGAUGUAGACGGCAAGAUCAUCCAACAAGAUGGCGAUGAGGAGGAGUUUGCGAGGUUUUUGGAUGACGUGCUUGAAGUAGCACCAGAGGAGACGGAAGACGUAGACGGCAAGAUCAUGCAAAAAGAUGGCGAUAAGGAGGAGGAGCAGGAGGAGGGCGACGACGACUUCGCGAGGUUCUUGGGUGACGAGCUUGAAAUAGCGCCAGAGGAGACAGAAGACGUAGAAGGCAAGGCCGACCAACAAGAUGGAGAUGAGGAGGACGACUUCGCGAGGUUUUUGGAUGAAGAGCUUGAAACAGCACCAGAGGAGACGGAAGACGUACAAGGCAAGGCCAUCGAAAAAGAUGGCGAUGAGGAGGAGCACAUGAGCACCUUGUGGUGA
rnacentral:rRNA from 1 species